rnacentral:rRNA from 1 species
GAUGAACGCUGGCGGCGUGCUUAACACAUGCAAGUCGAACGAAGCAUUUGCGACAGAUUUUUUCGGAAUGAAGUUGCUUAUGACUGAGUGGCGGACGGGUGAGUAACGCGUGGGUAACCUGCCUUGUACUGGGGGAUAGCAGCUGGAAACGGCUGGUAAUACCGCAUAAGCGCACAAUGUUGCAUGACAUGGUGUGAAAAACUCCGGCGGUAUAAGAUGGACCCGCGUCUGAUUAGCUAGUUGGUGAGAUAACAGCCCACCAAGGCGACGAUCAGUAGCCGACCUGAGAGGGUGACCGGCCACAUUGGGACUGAGACACGGCCCAGACUCCUACGGGAGGCAGCAGUGGGGAAUAUUGCACAAUGGAGGAAACUCUGAUGCAGCGACGCCGCGUGAGUGAAGAAGUAAUUCGUUAUGUAAAGCUCUAUCAGCAGGGAAGAUAGUGACGGUACCUGACGAAGAAGCUCCGGCUAAAUACGUG